rnacentral:lncRNA from 1 species
UCAGGGAGUAUUUUCUCGGUCACCUCUACUUGAUGCCAAUGGUUAUCUAAUUCUUACUGUCAAUGAUGUAGUCAAAUCAGUGGCGCCACAAACACCAAGUCUGUGGUUGAAUAUUCAGGUUAAUGGAAUGUAUAAUUCAAUUCAUUCUCAUGAAAGUAAGAGAAGAUCAAAAAUAGCUAUGUUGUUUUUCUUCUUGAAUUCAAUACCUUAUAUAUACAGUGGUUUGGUUGCUUCAUCACUUCACCAUUAACCGCCAAACUUGUCGGGAUGUGUAAACCACGCGCUCUCGCUGCUAUACUCCCUCUGCUUCUUCCUUUUCUUCUAAAUUCUCUCUUUCUAGCUCUUGUUUUUGCUCAAACUAACAAGAGAUAUGAUUGGAAUACACUUGCCGGUAGGUGUUAUUUUUUUUCUUCUUCUUUUUUGUUAUUUUUUCUUCACUUGCUUAUUGCAUAUUUAAGUAGAAGAAGAAUGUUUAUGAUUAUCAUUAUGAUUAGCAAUGAAGUGGAGGGUCUUUGCUUAGUUUAUAAUUAAACUUUGAUUUGUUAAUUUGAGCUUAGAAGGGAUUUGGCUUCUCAUAAAUGUUGCUUAAUUAAAUGGUUUACCACUAUCUUAAGAUGUUUAUGAAUAGAUUUAGAUAUACGACUCUUCAAUGCAAUAUAAGAAAAAUGAAUAGAUGAAAAACUGAUGUUUUUGGACCUGAAUGUAAUUCUUGAUAUAAUCUCAUAACUUGAUACAAUUUUCCAUUUUUGAUAUGUACUUGAAGUCAAUGACUCAUGCACCUCUCUUUCCUCUAUUUUUUGUUUAUAUUUUCUUUUUCUUUUUUGGUUCCACUCUGUGCUAGGUGGCCUUCAGACUUACUCUUGUUGAUUGUUUUGCAGGUAAUCCGCCGUUGGUCAUAGCACAUGGUGGUUUUUCAGGGAUAUUUCCUGAUUCGAGUGGUGCUGCUUAUGGUUUGGCCUUAGAAACGAGCUUACCGGAUGUCGCUCUAUGGUGUGAUGUGCAAUUGACAAAAGAUGCAUCUGGGAUUUUCCUUCCAAAUGUCAACCUUUUAAAUUCUAAUUACAUUUCAUUUGCUAUCCCGAAUAAAACUACGAAUUACUCGGUUAAUGGUGUAUCCACCCGUGGCUAUUUUUCCGUGGAUUACACCUUGAAGGACUUAUCCAAUGUCUUAUGUAAGUUUCAGUCAUGAUAAAGAUGUAUUUUUAUUGAUGUAGAUUAUUGUUAUUUUGUGGAAUGAUUGAUUCUUUUGUAUGACAUAUAUGUGUUUUAUGAUUUAAGGUAUUUUCUAUGUUUGGCAUACUAGUGAGUUUUGAAGUUAUUUAUUUCUAUGGUUUUUGACAUUUUUUCACUGUUGGACAGUAUCUCAGGGAGUAUUUUCUCGGUCAACUCUACUUGAUGCCAAUGGUUAUCUAAUUCUUACUGUCAAUGAUGUAGUCAAAUCAGUGGCGCCACAAACACCAAGUCUGUGGUUGAAUAUUCAGGUUAAUGGAAUGUAUAAUUCAAUUCAUUCUCAUGAAAGUAAGAGAAGAUCAAAAAUAGCUAUGUUGUUUUUCUUCUUGAAUUCAAUACCUUAUAUAUACAGUGGUUUGGUUGCUUUAUCACUUCACCAUUAAACGCCAAACUUGUCGGGCCAAACUUGUCGGGAUGUGUAAACCACGCGCUCUCGCUGCUAUACUCCCUCUGCUUCUUCCUUUUCUUCUAAAUUCUCUCUUUCUAGCUCUUGUUUCUGCUCAAACUAACAAGAGAUAUGAUUGGAAUACACUUGCCGGUAGGUGUUAUUUUUUUUCUUCUUCUUUUUUGUUAUUUUUUCUUCACUUGCUUAUUGCAUAUUUAAGUAGAAGAAGAAUGUUUAUGAUUAUCAUUAUGAUUAGCUAUGAAGUGGAGGGUCUUAGCUUAGUUUAUAAUUAAACUUUGAUUUGUUAAUUUUAGCUUAGAAGGGAUUUGGCUUCUCAUAAAUGUUUCUUAAUUAAAUGGUUUACCACUAUGUUGAGAUGUUUAUGAAUAGAUUUAGAUAUACGACUCUUCAAUGCAAUAUAAGCAAAAUGAAUAUAUGAAAAACUGAUGUUUUUGGACCUGAAUGUAAUUCUUGAUAUAAUCUCAUAACUUGAUACAAUUUUCCAUUUUUGAAAUGUACUUGAAUUCAAUGAUUCAUGCACCUCUCUUUCCUUUAUUUUUUGUUUAUAUUUCCUUUUUCUUUUUUGGUUCCACUCUGUGCUAGGUGGCCUUCAGACUUACUCUUGUUGAUUGUUUUGCAGGUAAUCCGCCGUUGGUCAUAGCACAUGGUGGUUUUUCAGGGAUAUUUCCUGAUUCGAGUGGUGCUGCUUAUGGUUUGGCCUUAGAAACGAGCUUACCGGAUGUCGCUCUAUGGUGUGAUGUGCAAUUGACAAAAGAUGCAGCUGGGAUUUUCCUUCCAAAUGUCAACCUUUUAAAUUCUAAUUACAUUUCAUUUGCUAUCCCGAAUAAAACUACGAAUUACUCAGUUAAUGGUGUAUCCACCCGUGGCUAUUUUUCCAUGGAUUACACCUUGAAGGACUUAUCCAAUGUCUUCUGUAAGUUUCAGUCAUGAUAAAGAUGUAUUUUUAUUGAUGUAGAUUAUUGUUAUUUUGUGGAAUGAUUGAUUCUUUUGUAUGACAUAUAUGUGUUUUAUGAUUUAAGGUAUUUUCUAUGUUUGGCAUACUAGUGAGUUUUGAAGUUAUUUAUUUCUAUGGUUUUUGACAUUUUUUCAUUGCUGGACAGUAUCUCAGGGAGUAUUUUCUCGGUUACCUCUACUUGAUGCCAAUGGUUAUCUAAUUGUUACUGUCAAUGAUGUAGUCAAUUCAGUGGCGCCACAAACACCAAGUCUGGGGUUGAAUAUUCAGGAAAAUGGAAUGUAUAAUUCAAUUCAUUCUCAUGAUUUAGUCGAUCUCCUUGAUUGUUCUAAAAUUAAUUCUUGAUUUCUCUGAUAUUUUGCAGCAU